UACAGAGACUGCAAGCGUUAUUCGGAUUCACUGGGCGUAAAGGGUGCGCAGGCGGCCAAGUGUGUGAGGCGUGAAAGCCCGGGGCUUAACCCCGGAAUUGCACCUAAAACUACAUGGCUAGAGCAUUGGAGAGGGUAGCAGAAUUCAUGGUGUAGCAGUGAAAUGCGUAGAUAUCAUGAGGAAUACCAGAGGCGAAGGCGGCUACCUGGACAAUUGCUGACGCUCAGGCACGAAAGCGUGGGGAGCAAAAGGG
rnacentral:rRNA from 1 species